AUUGAACGCUGGCGGCAUGCCUUACACAUGCAAGUCGAACGGUAACGGGCCUUCGGGUGCCGACGAGUGGCGAACGGGUGAGUAAUACAUCGGAACGUGCCCGAUCGUGGGGGAUAACGAGGCGAAAGCUUUGCUAAUACCGCAUACGAUCUACGGAUGAAAGCCGGGGACCGCAAGGCCUUGCGCGGACGGAGCGGCCGGUGGCCGAUUAGGUAGUUGGUGGGAUAAAAGCUUACCAAGCCGACGAUCUGGAGCUGGUCUGAGAGGAUGAUCAGCCACACUGGGACUGAGACACGGCCCAGACUCCUACGGGAGGCAGCAGUGGGGAAUUUUGGACAAUGGGCGCAAGCCUGAUCCAGCCAUGCCGCGUGCAGGAUGAAGGCCUUCGGGUUGUAAACUGCUUUUGUACGGAACGAAAAGCCUUCUUUUAAUACAGGGGGGUCAUGACGGUACCGUAAGAAUAAGCACCGGCUAACUACGUG
rnacentral:rRNA from 1 species